rnacentral:rRNA from 1 species
UACGGGGGGUGCAAGCGUUGUUCGGAAUUAUUGGGCGUAAAGAGCGUGUAGGCGGUUUGUUAAGUCUGAUGUGAAAGCCCUGGGCUCAACCCAGGAAGUGCAUUGGAAACUGGCAGACUUGAAUACGGGAGAGGGCAGUGGAAUUCCUAGUGUAGGAGUGAAAUCCGUAGAUAUUAGGAGGAACACCGGUGGCGAAGGCGGCUGCCUGGACCGAUAUUGACGCUGAGACGCGAAAGCGUGGGGAGCAAACAGG